AAUAGAUACCCCGGUAGUCCACGCCGUAAACGAUGGAUACUAGCUGUUGGGGGCGACCUCAGUGGCUAAGCGAAAGUGAUAAGUAUCCCACCUGGGGAGUACGUUCGCAAGAAUGAAACUCAAAGGAAUUGACGGGGGCCCGCACAAGCGGUGGAGCAUGUGGUUUAAUUCGAUGAUACGCGAGGAACCUUACCAAGGCUUAAAUGCAGACUGACCGUUUUGGAAACAGAACUUUCGCAAGACAGUCUACAAGGUGCUGCAUGGUUGUCGUCAGCUCGUGCCGUGAGGUGUCAGGUUAAGUCCUAUAACGAGCGCAACCCCUGUUGUUAGUUGCCAGCGAGUAGUGUCGGGAACUCUAACAAGACUGCCAGUGCAAACUGUGAGGAAGGUGGGAUGACGUCAAAUCAUCACGGCCCUUACGCCUUGGGCUACACACGUGCUACAAUGGCCGUAACAGAGAGCAGCCACCUGCCGAGGGGGANCGAAUCUACAAAGCCGGUCACAGUUCGGAUCGGAGUCUGCAACUCGACC
rnacentral:rRNA from 1 species